UGGGGAAUAUUGCACAAUGGGGGAAACCCUGAUGCAGCGACGCCGCGUGAAGGAAGAAGUAUUUCGGUAUGUAAACUUCUAUCAGCAAGGAAGAUAAUGACGGUACUUGACUAAGAAGCCCCGGCUAACUACGUGCCAGCAGCCGCGGUAAUACGUAGGGGGCAAGCGUUAUCCGGAUUUACUGGGUGUAAAGGGAGCGUAGGUGGCAUGGCAAGUCAGAUGUGAAAGCCCGGGGCUCAACCCCGGGACUGCAUUUGAAACUGCCAGGCUGGAGUGCAGGAGAGGUAAGUGGAAUUCCUAGUGUAGCGGUGAAAUGCGUAGAUAUUAGGAGGAACACCAGUGGCGAAGGCGGCUUACUGGACUGUAACUGACACUGAGGCUCGAAAGCGUGGGGAGCAAA
rnacentral:rRNA from 1 species